rnacentral:rRNA from 1 species
UACAGAGGGGGCAAGCGUUGUUCGGAAUUACUGGGCGUAAAGGGCGCGUAGGCGGCCUUCUAAGUCGAACGUGAAAUCCCCGGGCUCAACCCGGGAACUGCGUCCGAUACUGGAAGGCUUGAAUUCGGGAGAGGGAUGCGGAAUUCCAGGUGUAGCGGUGAAAUGCGUAGAUAUCUGGAGGAAGACCGGUGGCGAAGGCGGGAUCCUGGACCGGCAUUGACACUGAGGCGCGAAAGCCAGGGGAGCAAACGGG